AUUUUUGUGCAGGUCAGGUACAGUGUGGCCAGGUGCAUUGCAGACUUCCCUACGCUGGCCCUCCGGUGCACCUCAAAACUGACAUGGAAGCAACACUGUCCAACAGAGG